GGAGAUUACCAGCGCCGAGCGGUCGAAGGCGCUCCCCUGCUAAGGGAGUAAACGGUGAUGAGCCGUUUCGGGGGUUCGAAUCCCCCCCUCUCCGCCA
rnacentral:tRNA from 1 species